AUUUGUUCAUGAUUUUCGCUAUUUUUGAACAGAUGUUAUUUGUUAUUGAUUAAAGGCCCCAACUUGACCUUAUUUCAAUACAUUUGACAAUUUUAAGCUUGGCCUACCAUUUUAUUGGAGCAAUGAGGAACAUGUGGGGCUUGAAAAGGCCCCCUUGUUCAAAGUGGGGAAUGAAAGAAUAAGUUUGAGAACCACUGGUGUAUGUAAUCACUAGCAGUAAAUAACGUAAAGGACUGAGAUUACAUAUCACAAACACACAUAAUCGAUGGGAUUUACUGUGAUAACUUAAUCGAAGUUGCCAUCUGAAAUCUGAUGACAUUACUCCUUCUUUCCAGUCUUAAUUCAGAUUCCAAUUCCAGUUUCACUCGAAUAUGUUCAUUAGUGAAAAGAUAUUAAUUGUAUUUUCUUGUCUGUCAUAAUUGCCUGAAGCACACCUACAUUACUGAUUAGUUUCAGAUAUUUAGGCCAGAGAUAUUAGGCUAAGAAGAGUGCAAACCUGACCAAGGAGGAAAGACAAUAAUUUGAUUUCGCCAGAAAUGCACACUCUAAAUACACA
ensembl:lncRNA